AGUGGAUGCAGCAGUGCUUAAUCAGCUGAGAACUCUUCUGAAGAACCUCAGUUUACCCUUUGGAAUAAGUGACGAUCAGAUCACUGAACUCAACAUCACUACAGUGUGUCUUUUGAAUAAUACUGGAUACCAGUGCCGGUGUGAGGAUCAGUAUUUCUGGCCGUGUAACAAGUGCGCAGCGUAUGGACCCUGUGACAACAUUAAUAAUGUCACAUGUGGAUGCAUCAGAGCCGUUCCAAAUGAUGGACAGUUCUGCCAACCAAUGACAGAGCUGGCCAAUAUCACAGUAUGUCCAACUCCAGACAUGGACGAAUGUACUGUGAUUCCUGGAGUGUGUGGUCCAAAUGCAAACUGCACCAAUACUGUAGGAAGCUACAGUUGUUCAUGCCUGACUGGAUAUAAUGUUACAAAUACAACUAUUCCUCUCAGUGUCAGCAACCCAUGCAGAGAUGUGAAUGAAUGUAUGGAGAUUCCUGAAGUGUGUGGGCCAAAUGCAAACUGCACCAAUGUUGCUGGAAACUACAGCUGCACAUGC